rnacentral:rRNA from 1 species
UACAGAGGUCUCAAGCGUUGUUCGGAUUCAUUGGGCGUAAAGGGUGCGUAGGCGGCGCGGUAAGUCGGGUGUGAAAUCUCGGAGCUUAACUCCGAAACUGCAUUCGAUACUGCCGUGCUUGAGGACUGGAGAGGAGACUGGAAUUUACGGUGUAGCGGUGAAAUGCGUAGAUAUCGUAAGGAAGACCAGUGGCGAAGGCGGGUCUCUGGACAGUUCCUGACGCUGAGGCACGAAGGCCAGGGGAGCAAACGGGAUUAGAUACCCCGGUAGUCCUGGCAGUAAACGGUGCACGUUUGGUGUGGGAGGAUUCGACCCCUUCUGCGCCGGAGCUAACGCGUUAAACGUGCCGCCUGGGGAGUACGGUCGCAAGAUUAAAACUCAAAGAAAUUGACGGGGGCCCGCACAAGCGGUGGAGUAUGUGGCUCAAUUCGAUGCAACGCGAAGAACCUUACCAGGCCUUGACAUGCAUCUCUAAGUUGGUGAAAGCCAGCGAGUCCCGAAAGGGACAAUUUGCACAGGUGCUGCAUGGCUGUCGUCAGCUCGUGUCGUGAGAUGUUGGGUUAAGUCCCGCAACGAGCGCAACCCCUGUGAACUGUUGCCACCGAGCCGUGAGGCUCGAGCACUCUGUUCAGACUGCCCCGCUCUAACGGGGAGGAAGGUGGGGACGACGUCAAGUCAGUAUGGCCCUUACGGCCUGGGCUGCACACGUACUACAAUGCCCAGUACAGAAGGAUCCUAGACCGCGAGGUGGAGGAAAUCACUAAAACUGGGCCCAGUUCAGAUUGAAGUCUGCAACUCGACUUCAUGAAGCCGGAAUCGCUAGUAAUGGCGUAUCAGCUACGACGCCGUGAAUACGUUCCCGGGCCU